rnacentral:rRNA from 1 species
GACGAACGCUGGCGGCGCGCCUAACACAUGCAAGUCGAACGGAGCUGAGAGAAGCUUGCUUUUCUUAGCUUAGUGGCGAACGGGUGAGUAACGCGUGAGUAACCUGCCCUGGAGUGGGGGACAACAGUUGGAAACGACUGCUAAUACCGCAUAAGCCCACGAUCCGGCAUCGGAUUGAGGGAAAAGGAUUUAUUCGCUUCAGGAUGGACUCGCGUCCAAUUAGCUAGUUGGUGAGGUAACGGCCCACCAAGGCGACGAUUGGUAGCCGGACUGAGAGGUUGAACGGCCACAUUGGGACUGAGACACGGCCCAGACUCCUAUGGGAAGCAGCAGUGGGGGAUAUUGCACAAUGGGGGAAACCCUGAUGCAGCGACGCCGCGUGGAGGAAGAAGGUUUUCGGAUUGUAAACUCCUGUCGUUAGGGACGAUAAUGACGGUACCUAACAAGAAAGCACCGGCUAACUACGUG